GAUGAACGCUGGCGGCGUGCCUAAUACAUGCAAGUCGAGCGAAUGGAUUAAGAGCUUGCUCUUAUGAAGUUAGCGGCGGACGGGUGAGUAACACGUGGGUAACCUGCCCAUAAGACUGGGAUAACUCCGGGAAACCGGGGCUAAUACCGGAUAACAUUUUGAACCGCAUGGUUCGAAAUUGAAAGUCGGCUUCGGCUGUCACUUAUGGAUGGACCCGCGUCGCAUUAGCUAGUUGGUGAGGUAACGGCUCACCAAGGCAACGAUGCGUAGCCGACCUGAGCAGGUGAUCGGCCACACUGGGACUGCGACACGGCGCAGACUCCUACGGGAGACAGCAGUAGGGAAUCUUCCGCAAUGGACGAAAGUCUGACGGAGCAACGCCGCGUGAGUGAUGAAGGCUUUCGGGUCGUAAAACUCUGUUGUUAGGGAAGAACAAGUGCUAGUUGAAUAAGCUGACACCUUGACGGUACCUAACCAGAAAGCCACGGCUAACUACGUGCCAGCAGCCGCAGUAA
rnacentral:rRNA from 1 species